CUGCCAGCCAGUCUGGAGCCGCCAGCCAGUCUGGAGCCGCCAGAGCCGCCAGCCAGUCUGGAGCCGCCAGAGCCGCCAGCCAGGCCGGAGCCGCCAGGGACAUCAGCCAGGCGAGCGCAGCAAGUGUCGCCCGCCAGCCGGGCGCAGCCAGGGUCGCCCGCCAGCCGGGCGCAGCAGGAAUCGCCAGCCGGGCGCAGUCAGGGUCGCCCACCAGUCCUCCGACGCGGCCAGGGGCGCCACCUAAGUGGGCGACGCCGAGGGUGGAGCGGGGUCCACGUCCCGCACCUGAUCCGCCUCCAAUAUAGUUGUGACAGAACUACCCACCACAACAGGACCAAGCAGCGGAGGAAAUCUGGCGAGGACCGGGGAAAACGGCUGGUAAGGGAGCCCGAGAGGCAGCCCCAAUAAUUUUUUUUGGGGGGGCACAAGGGCAGUUUGGCAGGGCGAGGAUGGAGCCCCAGGCCAGCUCCCCGUACCAUUUUUGGGCAGACACGAACUGGACAGGUCCCGUGCUUUGGGGUGAUGGGUACUGUGACGAGGCUGAGCAUUUUCAGGCCGGUAUGCGCAGUGCCAGCGCCCCGCAUGUGCCAGGGGAAAGUGGGCAUCCAGCCAGUAGGGGUGAUGCCAGCCCUGUGCUCGAGACCGCCAGUGCGCCUCUACGGUCCAGUGUUUCCCGCUACACGCACUAGCCUUGAGGUGCGUGUCUCCAGGCUGGCAUGUCCAGUACCAGCCCCACGCAUCAGGCUUCUAGUGCGUCAGCCCAGCCUCGCUAUUCUGGAGCCGCCAGAGCCGCCAGCCAUUCUGGAGCCGCCAGAGACGCCAGCCAGUCUGGAGCCGCCAGAGCCGCCAGUCAGUCUGGAGCCGCCAGAGCCGCCAGCCAGUCUGGAGCUGCCAGCCAGUCUGGAGCCGCCAGCCAGUCUGGAGCCGCCAGAGCCGCCAGCCAGUCUGGAGCCGCCAGAGCCGCCAGCCAGGCCGGAGCCGCCAGGGACAUCAGCCAGGCGAGCGCAGCAAGUGUCGCCCGCCAACCGGGCGCAGCCAGGGUCGCCCGCCAGCCGGGCGCAGCAGGAAUCGCCAGCCUGGCGCAGUCAGGGUCGCCCACCAGUCCUCCGACGCGGCCAGGGGCGCCACCUAAGUGUGCGACGCUGAGGGUGGAGCGGGGAUGAACACUAACUCCGCUGCACCUUGAUCCCAUUCUCUUUUCCACGACAGUUGUGACAGGUGUAGGCAAUCAUUGUAAAUAAGAAUUUGUUCUGAACUGACUUGCCUAGUUAAAUAAAGGUUACAUUUAAGUAAAUGUAAUUGCUAAAAUAUACUUAAGUAUCAAAAGUAAAAGUAAAAAUAACUUGAAAUUCCUUAUAUUAA
rnacentral:lncRNA from 1 species